CCUACGGGUGGCAGCAGUGGGGAAUAUUGGACAAUGGGCGAAAGCCUGAUCCAGCCAUGCCGCGUGUGUGAAGAAGGCCUUCGGGUUGUAAAGCACUUUCAGUGGGGAAGAAAGCCUUGGGGCUAAUACCCUCGAGGAAGGACAUCACCCACAGAAGAAGCACCGGCUAACUCCGUGCCAGCAGCCGCGGUAAUACGGAGGGUGCGAGCGUUAAUCGGAAUUACUGGGCGUAAAGCGCGCGUAGGCGGUCUGAUAAGCCGGUUGUGAAAGCCCCGGGCUCAACCUGGGAACGGCAUCCGGAACUGUCAGGCUAGAGUGCAGGAGAGGAAGGUAGAAUUCCCGGUGGAGCAGUGAAAUGCGUAGAGAUCGGGAGGAAUACCAGUGGCGAAGGCGGCCUUCUGGACUGACACUGACGCUGAGGUGCGAAAGCGUGGGUAGCAAACAGGAUUAGAUACCCGAGUAGUC
rnacentral:rRNA from 1 species